CUUAAUCCGCCCCGUCAUGGUUCCGUGCCCCCCGUUCCGGGGCACGGCUAAGAGGGAAGCCGGUGCGACGCCGGCGCUGCCCCCGCAACUGUAGGCGGCGAGCAUCGGUCCAUUCGCGUCACUGGGGCGUCAUGCCCCGGGAAGGCCGGACCCAUUGCGCGGACCCGCGAGCCAGGAGACCUGCCAUGGCCGCAAGAAUCCU
rnacentral:ncRNA from 2 species